GGCAGUGGGGCAUAGUGGUAUGGAGCUGGACUUGUAAUCGGAAGGUUGCCGGUUCGAUCCCCCACCGGGGCACUGCUG